GGCGUUUUGACUUGCAUCAGCCACUACAUGUACGUCAAACGUGCCAGCAUCAGUGGACCCCUGACUUGAAGGACCUCCUUAGGAGUGGAUAUUGGCCAGCCUCUGUCACCAGCUCCACACUUUAUACACCGGACCUCCUCAACUCCUUUCAGGACCUCAAGGUCAUCUCUCCAGGAGUCUCCAGACAAGCCUUCGCAAAGCUGCUGGAGCAUCGCACUAAGAUCGGAGGAAGAUCUGGACAAAUCAGCGCAGCUUCUUAGAGUUUAUGCUUCACUUGAGGAAGACCAGCUCUGCUGUGGUGCUCCUCUCACCUGCGCAGCCUGCACGCCGGAAAUGUUGGCUGUUUCAGCCGAUGUUAACAGAAAGCUAUAUCACUUUCGCAGAGACACAAGCUCUGAUGAUCCUGCCUUUUUUGAGGGGCUCUUAGUGGCUGAAGACGUUGCGGUGUCUAGAUUUGUGGAAACCAUACAGAAAGCAGUGAGAAAUGCAAGUUUCAAUCAUAACUUGACCGAAAAGUUGUCACAAAAAGAGCCAUAUAUGUCCGACCUUGAUUUCAUCCUCACUUCAACUACUUCUACCAACCAACUACUCCAAAAUCAAACUGAGAGAAUAAAUGGCAUAUAUUGUAUG